AGGGUAAUAGUUAAGUAUAACAUUUGAAUUGCACUCAAAAGGUAUUGAAUUAAUCAAUUUACCUU
rnacentral:tRNA from 1 species